rnacentral:rRNA from 1 species
ACUCAAAUGAAUUGACGGGGACCUGCACAAGCGGUGGAGCAUGUGGUUUAAUUCGACAGUAAGCGAGGAACCUUACCAAGGCUUGACAUGUAGCUGCAUCCUCCAGAAAUGGAGGCGCCUUCGAGGGUGCUACACAGGUGCUGCACGGUUGUCGUCAGCUCGUGCCGUGAGGUGUUCACUUAAGUGUGAAAACGAGCGCAACCCCUAUCGUCUGUUACAAGUGUCAGAUGAAACUGCCGGCGUCUAAGCCGGAGGAAGGUGGGGAUGACGUCAAAUCAGCGUGGCUCUUACGCCUUGGGCGACACACGUGCUACAAUGGGAAGUUACAAAGGGACGCCAAGCGGUAACGCGGAGCAAAUCCUGGCAAACCUUCCCCCAGUUCGGAUCGAGGGCUGCAACUCGCCCUCGUGAAGCCGGAAUCGCUAGUAACCGUAGAUCAGCCUCGCUACGGUGAAUACGUUCUCAGGUUUUGCACACACCGCCCGU